GAGUUACCGCUUAUAGUAACUUUUUUUAUCAACAUGCUGAUGUCUUUCAAUCCUUCCAUGUAUACACGUUCUGAUUUGAGAUAUAAGGGCAUAAUCAAGAGAUAUCAAGACCUCAUUUUAAUUAUUGGAUUCUCCCUGAACUUUACAGUUUAUAUUAUGAUGAGUAAGCAGUUACGUGAUAAAUUAUGGACUGGUGUUACGAAGACCACAAGGCGCUGUAAAUGUUGGUGACGUUAUAUCAAAUUUUAAGUUUACGAGUUAAAAUUUUUAUUCUCAAGCAUGGAAAGAGAGAUUGUUUUUAAUUUAUUUUACAUAUUUUAUACCAAUUGUAAAUGAAAAAAAGAGCUUAUUUGAUUGAAGCUAUUUAAAUAUGACAUUAGCCCAAUAUACUGACAGUUUGGUACUCUCAAACAAAAUAAAAACACAAAAGAUAUGUGGGGUUUCCAAUCAUGAUAUAAAAAUAGAACACGCACAGCAAAACACACAAAAAGCCACGGAACAGUGCUUUUAUUGCUAUUCUUCAUCUCAACGUCACAGUGAGGAAUCAACACGGGGCAAAACAAACCAAACUCAAAUUGUACUGCAAGUUUAAGACUGCCCCUAGCACCGUCCUGAUUGGAAUUCUUUGCACCGUGAACUAUCUAUUGACCACCUUGUCCGAACUAUCAAGCUUAAUUUCAGCAUAUUCUCC
rnacentral:lncRNA from 1 species